AGAAGGCAUCUGCCUCCAGGAGAAACUGGCAACCUCGACGAUUCCUCCCACCCGACCCCUCCCAGUGGAGGGGGUCCGCGGCAAAGACAACAACCCCUACUCAACCUCCGCCGCAGGGAGGGGUCCGGCCGGCCUGGGGCAGGAAUGUCAGGUGCAGAGACGCCUAUUCCGAGGGUGACUUCAACUUCGUGAGCAAGUUAAACAAAUUGAAACUGUCUCCUGAGACGCUUUCCCUCUCUCAUUAGAACAAUGUAACUUAAAAAAAUCUACACACAAAAGGAACAGCUCAGACUGAAUUAAUGCAGGUGAGAAAAAUGAAUUCGAAAAGAUAGAUCUUGGGGCUUCCCUGGUGGCGCAGUGGUUAAGAAUCCGCCUGCCAACGCAGGGGACAUGGGUUCGAGCCCUGGUCCGCGAAGAUCCCGCAUGCCAUGG